UCUCGGGUAUAAAGCGUUAGGUACGUGUAUUAUAUCAGUAAACUUGUACACAAAACAUAAUGUGUGAGGUAACACAGGUCUCGGGUAUAGUGCGUUAGGUACGUGUAGUAUAUCAUUGAACUCGUACACAAAACAUGAUGUGUGAGGUAACACAGGUCUCGGGUCUAAUGCGUUAGGUACGUGUAGUAUAUAAGUGAACUCGUACACAAAACAUGAUGCGUGAGGUAACACAGGUCUCGGGUAUAGUGCGUUAGGUACGUGUAGUAUAUCAGUGAGCUCGUACACAAAACAUGAUGUGUGAGGUAACACAGGUCACGGGUAUAAUGCGUUAGGUACGUGUAGUAUAUAAGUGAACUCGUACACAAAACAUGAUAUGUGAGGUAACACAGGUCUCGGGUAUAAUGGGUUAGGUACGUGUAUUAUAUCAGUGAACUCGUACAGAAAACAUGAUGUGUGAGGUUACACAGGUAUCGGGCAUAAUGCGUUAGGUACGUGUAUUAUAUCAGUGAAUUCGUAGACAAAACAUGAUAUGUGAGGUAACACAGCUCUCGGGUAUAAUGCGUUAGGUACGCGUAGUAUAUCAGUAAACUCGUACACAAAACAUGAUGUGUGAGGUAACACAUGUACAGGUCUCGGGUAUAAUGCGUUAGGAACGUGUAUUAUAUCAGUGAACUCGUACACAAAACAUGAUGUGUGAGGUAACACAGGUCUCGGGUAUUAUGCGUUAGGUAGGUGUAGUAUAUCAGUGAACUCGUACACAAAACAUAAUGUGUGAGGUAACACAGGUCUCGGGUAUAAUGCGUUAGGUACGUGUAGUAUAUCAGUGAACUCGUACACAAAACAUAAUGUGUGAGGUAACACAGGUCUCGGGCAUAAUGCGUUAGGUACGUGUAGUAUAUCAGUGAACUCGUACA